ACUUACAAGAGUUUGAUCCUGGCUCAGGAUGAACGUUGGCGGCAGGUUUGACACAUGCAAGUCGAACGGUAGAGUGGAGCUUGCUCUGCUUGAGAGUGGCGAACGGCUGAGUAACACGUAGGAACGUACCCCACAGACAGGGAUAACAGACCGAAAGGGCUGCUAAUACCUGAUAUAUCCUUCGGGAGGAAAGGUCCGCCGCUGUGGGAGCGGCCUGCGGCGUAUUAGGUUG
rnacentral:rRNA from 1 species